AAUAAAAGCAAAGCUUUCUGUUAUUCUUUUUUUUAUUCAGGUGGCAUCAAUCUCCUUUGCUCAACCACUGUGUGUCAGAUGUGUGGCUCUCGCAUACUACCUGCACCACUGCACAGCUUGUGCCCUGAUUCAUCCCGUCCCGCUGAGAACAGCUGCUUAACUAUGCUCGGGAAUGUGGCUAAGGCUCUUCUGGAAAAUAUCCCUGAAAUGGUAGCUCCCACUGAGACAAACAGGAGCCCAUUCAUUGGAGAGAGAUACAGGAAACAGAGACAGGUUUGGUCCACAAGCUAUUCAGAAGAGGCAGGAAGUACCCACGAAAGCCCAGUGCUCUUGGGUUGGAGCUGCCAAGACCCGGCUGCCUUGAAGCAGAGCUGGAAAGAUGCUAAGUCUUUGCAAGUGGCCCUGCAGACUGGCACUGUGAACUGGUCUACUGUGAAGUGCUGUGUCCUUUCUCCCAGCUACCAGCCUUCAGGACAGAACUACCUCAUGGACAGUGGACAUGGGGAGAGAGAUGGUGCAAGGGGAGGGAGGAGAAAGGAGAGAUUCUCCGUGGUGCCCAGCAACAGGACAAGAGGCAAUGGGCAGAAACUGAACCACAGGAAGUUCCAUCUGAACCUGAGAAAAAACUUCUUCACUGUGAGGGUGACAGAGCAUUGGAACAGGUUGCCCAGAGAGGUGGUGGAGUCUCCUUCCCUGGAGAUAUUCAAAACCCGUCUGGAUGUGAUCCUGGGCAAUAUGCUCUAGGUGACCCUGCUUGAACAGGGAGGUUGGACGAGAUGAUCUCCAGAGGUCCCUUCCAACCUAAACGAUUCUGUGAUUCUGUGAUUCUGUGAUUAUGCCUUCCCUACAGCUCACUGCUAGCUCACUCAACUCGGGAGACACAAGAGGAUUUACACAAGGGACAAGACAGAGUGGCCCCUUACCCUGACCAUGUCCCUCAGCUGCAGGCAAAGGCAAGUCAAGGAUUAGGCUCGUGGGUCCGAAUUCUUCAGGCUCAUCUCCUGCUGCUCCCAUAUGCCCCUUCAGAAAGACUAUUCUUCAUUGCAUCCUGUCCCCCAUGGCUUGCCUAAGAGCUGAGCCUGAAUGGGCUGGCCUCGGCAUUGCUCAGAGCAACGUGCAGGUCCUCGCUGCUUGGGGACUAGGACGUGGCAGGAUUUGGCCUGUGGACUGAAGAAGCAAUGGUAAAGUGAAAAGCAGAGCGGAUUCAAUUCCAGAUGUAUUCCUGUGCCUCAGCAAGCCUUACCUUUGGAAGAUAAACUCCGUUGACACUCAUUGCUUUAAGCGAUGGUGCUGAGAAACCUGUGGACACUCAAACACCUGCUCCUGAUGAUUCUGGAUGCCUCCGUGGCCCCUGUCCUUCUUCGUCAUCUGGUAACAUUUCUUUUCCCUGAGAAAAGGAGUUUUUUUCUAAAUCUUAUUUCAAUAAUUCUUAAAGCAAAGCCUUUUCACAUUCAGGUAUAUGAUGGCCAUUGGUCCUUGCACAUGGGUGCUCUCCAUGAAUUUAUUUGCAUUUUACACCUUCACAUUUUCGGAUGUGUGAUGUAUACAUAAUAUUUUAAAAAAUAUUCUGAACUGAAGCAGUUCCAAGGAGAUAGACUCAUCCCAUGAACUCAUUUUACUGGGACUAUAGGACCUCUGUAAAGAAAGCUGCCUCAACAACUAUACUGCCCUUUCCCUAGAUCUCACCUCUUACUUAUUCAGAAAAAAACAGAAGUUGUAUCUUCUUUAUCAUAGCAAUAAUUUGUGAGUGUUUGGAUUCUUGUUAUACAUCUGUUUUUAAAUUGACACUUUAAGUUUUAUUUUUUUAGCAUUGCAAGGUAAAGUUCAUUAACAUUAGUGAAGUGCAAGAAAGUUCAAUGAUAUACGAGGUUAAAAGUCUUUGAAAUCAUAAGCAGCACUCAAAUGCGUUUUGAUUCUCCUGAGCAAAGCAGCAUCUACCAGAACCCUGCUCCCACUGAUUCUGGAACAGGUUCAGGGAUGUUUAGUCUGUAUGAAAAAAUCUCCAGUUCUUUGGGUUCCUGAGAUAACCUCACUAGAAUAUCCAAUGGCUAAACGGUUGAUCGCACAUCCAGUUUUACGCUACAAGAUAUAUCUGUCAUAGCAAUAUCUGGCAAAGCUGGUCUUUCUGGCAAUGCAAGCAGAUAUGCAUAGUAUAUUAAGGGCUCCGAGAAUAUUUGUUUAGCUCUAUUGAUAAGCUGGUAACUGCUAGUAUUGGCAGAUACGUUAGUUCCUCAGUCCUGUUAACUCUGCUGUGCUAUUUAUAAUUGCUGUUCCUGGGAAGCAGUGUUGUUAAUCACCUUUAAGUUGUUAAGGAAGUGAUCAUAAGCAUUUCUGUGGAUAUGCUAUAGACAGAGUGAGAAUAAAGAGCCAAAGGGAGCUGGAUGAUAUCA
ensembl:lncRNA